AUGCAAGUCGAGCGGAAACGAGUUAUCUGAACCUUCGGGGGACGAUAACGGCGUCGAGCGGCGGACGGGUGAGUAAUGCCUAGGAAAUUGCCCUGAUGUGGGGGAUAACCAUUGGAAACGAUGGCUAAUACCGCAUAAUGCCUACGGGCCAAAGAGGGGGACCUUCGGGCCUCUCGCGUCAGGAUAUGCCUAGGUGGGAUUAGCUAGUUGGUGAGGUAAUGGCUCACCAAGGCGACGAUCCCUAGCUGGUCUGAGAGGAUGAUCAGCCACACUGGAACUGAGACACGGUCCAGACUCCUACGGGAGGCAGCAGUGGGGAAUAUUGCACAAUGGGCGCAAGCCUGAUGCAGCCAUGCCGCGUGUGUGAAGAAGGCCUUCGGGUUGUAAAGCACUUUCAGUCGUGAGGAAGGUGGUGUAGUUAAUAGCUGCAUUAUUUGACGUUAGCGACAGAAGAAGCACCGGCUAACUCCGUGCCAGCAGCCGCGGUAAUACGGAGGGUGCGAGCGUUAAUCGGAAUUACUGGGCGUAAAGCGCAUGCAGGUGGUUUGUUAAGUCAGAUGUGAAAGCCCGGGGCUCAACCUCGGAAUAGCAUUUGAAACUGGCAGACUAGAGUACUGUAGAGGGGGGUAGAAUUUCAGGUGUAGCGGUGAAAUGCGUAGAGAUCUGAAGGAAUACCGGUGGCGAAGGCGGCCCCCUGGACAGAUACUGACACUCAGAUGCGAAAGCGUGGGGAGCAAACAGGAUUAGAUACCCUGGUAGUCCACGCCGUAAACGAUGUCUACUUGGAGGUUGUGGCCUUGAGCCGUGGCUUUCGGAGCUAACGCGUUAAGUAGACCGCCUGGGGAGUACGGUCGCAAGAUUAAAACUCAAAUGAAUUGACGGGGGCCCGCACAAGCGGUGGAGCAUGUGGUUUAAUUCGAUGCAACGCGAAGAACCUUACCUACUCUUGACAUCCAGAGAACUUUCCAGAGAUGGAUUGGUGCCUUCGGGAACUCUGAGACAGGUGCUGCAUGGCUGUCGUCAGCUCGUGUUGUGAAAUGUUGGGUUAAGUCCCGCAACGAGCGCAACCCUUAUCCUUGUUUGCCAGCGAGUAAUGUCGGGAACUCCAGGGAGACUGCCGGUGAUAAACCGGAGGAAGGUGGGGACGACGUCAAGUCAUCAUGGCCCUUACGAGUAGGGCUACACACGUCCUACAAUGGCGCAUACAGAGGGCAGCAAGCUAGCGAUAGUGAGCGAAUCCCAAAAAGUGCGUCGUAGUCCGGAUUGGAGUCUGCAACUCGACUCCAUGAAGUCGGAAUCGCUAGUAAUCGUGGAUCAGAAUGCCACGGUGAAUACGUUCCCGGGCCUUGUACACACCGCCCGUCACACCAUGGGAGUGGGCUGCAAAAGAAGUAGGUAG
rnacentral:rRNA from 1 species